rnacentral:tRNA from 1 species
GGCAAUAUGGCCGAGCGGUCUAAGGCGCUAGAAUCAGGUCAUGUGCUCAGGCACUGAUUCCAAUCUAGUCCGAAAGGGCGUGGGUUCGAAUCCCACUGUUGUCA